GAUGAAGAACGCAGCGAAAUGCGAUAAGUAGUGUGAAUUGCAGAAUUCAGUGAAUCAUCGAAUCUUUGAACGCACAUUGCGCCCCUUGGUAUUCCAUGGGGCAUGCCUGUUCGAGCGUCAUUUGUACCCUCAAGCUUUGCUUGGUGUUGGGUGUUUGUCCUCUCCUUUGCGUUUGGACUCGCCUUAAAGCAAUUGGCAGCCAGUGUUUUGGUAUUGAAGCGCAGCACAUUUUGCGAUUCUAGCCGAUAAUACUUGCGUCCAUAAGCCUUUUUUAACUUUUGACCUCGGAUCAGGUAGGGAUACCCGCUGAACUUAAGCAUAUCAAUAAGCGGAGA
rnacentral:misc_RNA from 1 species